rnacentral:lncRNA from 1 species
GUAUGACGUUUGCAGCAAAGAAAACCCCGCGUGAAAAUAAGUUUAAAAUACAGAGUUACGAUUGAUUAAGUGCGCAUUGAACUGCCAAACAGAUACACGGAGUGGAGCGGGUGACCGGUCCAAGAUGGCGGCCCCACGGCUCGUCAGCGCCAAUAGGCAGUAGCGGUCGAUGCGGCGUCUACUCCAUGUACCCAAGGGGUGCUUGAGCCCCUGCCUUUUUAGCCUCAUAUUAUAAAGUGCCCUUUUUGUGUGUUUUUUAAAUGAAUAAAUAAAUUCCUGUUGUGCAUAGGGAUAUGAAAAACAGCGGUAUAAAAACGUCACGUGUAUCUACCGUAAGUAUUUCGUACGUAAUAUGGUGUUGGGAGUGUGUUGAGCCUAUAAAGCCGCUUCUCUGUGCACCUAGGUGCAAUGAGUGAAGGUAAGAACAGAACUCUACAGGUUCUUUCAGACUGUCGCAACAACGUUUUAGCAACGUCUGUUCCAUUUGGGUGUAAGGUGGUUCAGUUUGCAUGGAAAACUAUUCUUAUGUGUUUUACUUUAGUUUGCUCUCCAUCUGGAUAAACGUUAACAUCUCUCCACUGUUUCAGUAACGUUAGCAAUCAGCAUCCAUUGUAUGUUUUGCGUUUUGUGACAUGAAUUACCAGUCAACAACAGAGUAGUAUAUCAUUGUUGCCAUUGUGAUGUGGAUACAAUAUAAAUAAUAUGUAGCUUUUCAUUGUGUUUGUGGACACGUUUUGAAUGUAGACUACAAUGAAACGGAGGCAGGGACAUAUCCAAUUACUUCACAAAGAAGAAAAUAUGCAGGAAGAGAGCAGAUGACCAGCAGGAGUGUGAGAGUAGUCAAGCUGAAUGCAGCCAGGCAGCUAACACAGGCCAACAUUUCCAGGGCCAGACCGGCCCUCAUGUACCUCCAGGUGAAAAUGCAGAUGCACAAAAGGAGAGGACUGACCCUGGUGAUGAUGAUACUGAGUCAGAUGAUAGCUACAGCAGCUCAAGCAGCUCCAACACCAACAGGAACCUCCCAGUUAAUCCUACUUUUGCCACACUGAAAGGUCUCCAAGGAAGAGACAUUUCUCAAACCAGAGCUGCAGGCCCUGCACAACCUAUCUUGAAUACCUUCCCUCAUACCAGAGCCUUCAGCACUUUCUGGUAAAAAGCCUAUACCUGGGCUGAAUACUCUCAGUGCCAAGACAGUGCUUUUUGUUUUGCAUGCAGACAUUUUUCAUUGCCCUGUGUUUUGUUACUUUUUGGCAGCACCGCAGAUUAAUAGUUGUUAUCCCCUGUGCCUCCAACCAGAAAAUUCCCUGGACCCGCCACUGCCAAAAGCACCGGGCACCAAGACCG